CAGGAAAUAGUUUAUUAAAAAUUUUAGUUUUGGAGACUAGAGAAGAGUUAUUACUCUUUCCUGA
rnacentral:tRNA from 1 species